GAUGAACGCUAGCGACAGGCUUAACACAUGCAAGUCGAGGGGUAACAGGGUAGCAAUACCGCUGACGACCGGCGCACGGGUGAGUAACGCGUAUGCAACCUGCCUAUAACUGGGGAAUAGCUCCCUGAAAGGGGAAUUAACACCGCAUAACACUAUUGAUUCGCAUGGAUUGGUAGUUAAAUGUAGCGAUACAGGUUAUAGAUGGGCAUGCGUGACAUUAGCUAGUUGGUGAGGUAACGGCUCACCAAGGCUACGAUGUCUAGGGGUUCUGAGAGGAAGGUCCCCCACACUGGUACUGAGACACGGACCAGACCUCCUACGGGAGGCAGCAGUGAGGAAUAUUGGUCAAUGGGCGCAAGCCUGAACCAGCCAUGUCGCGUGCAGGAAGACUGCCCUAUGGGUUGUAAACUGCUUUUAUAGUAGAAGAAACACAUCUACGAGUAGAUGUCUGCCAGUAUACUAUGAAUAAGCAUCGGCUAA
rnacentral:rRNA from 1 species